UCUUAGAGGGACUGGCACUUUACAUAAAGUGCCGAGGAAAGCAAUAACAGGUCUGUGAUGCCCUAAAUGUCCGGGGCCGCACGCGAGCUACAAUGACGAUGCAAGUGAGCAUGAUUAGCUGGUUCGAAAGGAUUGGCAAACCUGUUCAAUCAUCGUCGUGACCGGGAUUGGGGUUUGUAAUUAUCCCCCAUGAACGAGGAAUUCCUAGUAAGCACAAGUCAUAAGCUUGUGCUGAUUACGUCCCUGCCCUUUGUACACACCGCCCGUCGCUACUACCGAUUGAAUGGUUUAGCAAGGUUAUUGGAUUGGCUUUUAGCGGUUUGCGCUGCUUUUAGCUGAGAAGAUGACCGAACUUGAUCAUUUAGAGGAAGUAAAAGUCGUAACAAGGUUUCCGUAGGUGAACCUGCGGAAGGAUCAUUAUCUAUUUUUAUUCCUAAACUCUUUGAUUGCGGCCUAUCAUUUUAGAGGUGUAAUGCUUCUAGUGCUAUGCUUCGAUCAUUCGCGCCUGAUACUUCCCCAAUUGGGUAUCGGGGCUACGUUACAGUCUGUUUGGCUGAGAUAGAUGGGACUGAGUGCGUGCCGUGGCCAAGUGACAGUGGUUUCACGGGAUUAGCAUUCAGGCGCUACCCAUUCACUUUCCAGCCUUCCCUGUCACCAGU
rnacentral:rRNA from 1 species